rnacentral:rRNA from 1 species
GACAGAGGGUGCAAACGUUGCUCGGAAUUACUGGGCGUAAAGCGCGCGCAGGCGGUCUUCCAAGUCAGUGGUGAAAGCCCGGAGCUCAACUCCGGAACUGCCAUUGAAACUGUUAGACUCGAGGAUGAGAGAGGUGAGUGGAAUUCCCAGUGUAGAGGUGAAAUUCGUAGAUAUUGGGAAGAACACCGGUGGCGAAGGCGGCUCACUGGCUCAUUACUGACGCUCAGGCGCGAUAGCGUGGGGAUCAAACAGG